rnacentral:rRNA from 1 species
UACAGAGGUCUCAAGCGUUGUUCGGAAUUACUGGGCGUAAAGGGUGCGCAGGCCGCGCGGGCAGUCAAUUGUGUAAUUCAGGGGCUCAACCUCUGGACUGCGCUUGAUACUUCCGUGCUAGAGCUUUGGAGAGGAGUCUGGAAUUCUCGGUGUAGCAGUGAAAUGCGUGGAUAUCGAGAAGAACACUUAGGGCGAAGGCAAGACUCUGGACAAAUGCUGACGCUCAUGCACGAAAGCGUGGGGAGCAAACAGG